GAUGAACGCUGGCGGCGUGCCUAAUACAUGCAAGUCGAGCGAACAGACGAGGAGCUUGCUCCUCUGACGUUAGCGGCGGACGGGUGAGUAACACGUGGAUAACCUACCUAUAAGACUGGGAUAACUUCGGGAAACCGGAGCUAAUACCGGAUAAUAUAUUGAACCGCAUGGUUCAAUAGUGAAAGACGGUUUUGCUGUAACUUAUAGAUGGAUCCGCGCCGCAUUAGCUAGUUGGUAAGGUAACGGCUUACCAAGGCAACGAUGCGUAGCCGACCUGAGAGGGUGAGCGGCCACACUGGAACUGAGACACGGUCCAGACUCCUACGGGAGGCAGCAGUAGGGAAUCUUCCGCAAUGGGCGAAAGCUUGACGGAGCAACGCCGCGUGAGUGAUGAAGGUCUUCGGAUCGUAAAACUCUGUUAUUAGGGAAGAACAAAUGUGUAAGUAACUAUGCACGUCUUGACGGUACCUAAUCAGAAAGCCACGGCUAACUACGUG
rnacentral:rRNA from 1 species